CAUUGAUAACAUUGCCGAUUUACAAAACGAUAUUAGUAGGACAAUCAAAAAAUUAAUAUAAUGCUCAUAGCGUCGGUAAAACAAUUAUAAUAACGGUAUCAUAUUUAUUUAAUGUAUUAUACGCUUUGGUGAUAGGAGUCCGCGAGCUAUACGGGAAUUUAUUGCGAAAGAUAUUGUACAGUUUUCGUUAUAAUAUCGCGCGGCUCUCGUUUUAAAA